CUAUAGAGAAGCACUAUCCUUUAAUUCUUCCUUUAGAAGGGUUGAAAAGAUGGCAUGCUGUGGUGAUUCAGUGGGGAAAGGAUAAAUUCUUCACAUACGCCUACUCACCACCAUGAAAAAGAACUCUGUGGGCAGAGAAGGAGAAGAAUAUUAAAGAUGACUAUUGUCAAGUCCUUUUGGAGGGGAAAGAAUGGAAUUCCUAAUUGUUUCCUUCAUAAGGAUGAAAGGCAUUAAUUACUCUUGAACAAAAUUGUAAUUGUGCAUCACUUCCUGUCACUGGAUGGAAUCAGAACUGCUCAUCUGUCUCCUAGAACCCCAUUCUGCUAACAACUCAUGGAAAUUUGAGAGAGGCCUGUGCUUCUGGAGCAGGAGGAAAUGAGUUUGUUUUUCUGUGAUCGUAUAAUUAUGAAUUGCCACCACAUGUAACUUACUGAUAGCCAAGACGUUCCGAGGUAGUCCCUGAUAUGUUGGAAUUAGAGCUGUAGUUUGGAAAAUUUUCAUUGAAACAGUUUUCCACUGGAAAAUUCUGUUUUGACCAAGCUUGAUGUUUUUGUGAAAUCAUGUUGAUUCUGAUUAAA